rnacentral:rRNA from 1 species
UGAGGAAUAUUGGACAAUGGGCGCAAGCCUGAUCCAGCCAUGCCGCGUGCAGGAUGACGGUCCUAUGGAUUGUAAACUGCUUUUGUACAGGAAGAAACAGUUCUACGUGUAGAACCUUGACGGUACUGUAAGAAUAAGGAUCGGCUAACUCCGUGCCAGCAGCCGCGGUAAUACGGAGGAUCCAAGCGUUAUCCGGAAUCAUUGGGUUUAAAGGGUCCGUAGGCGGUUAGAUAAGUCAGUGGUGAAAGCCCAUCGCUCAACGGUGGAACGGCCAUUGAUACUGUCUGACUUGAAUUAUUAGGAAGUAACUAGAAUAUGUAGUGUAGCGGUGAAAUGCUUAGAGAUUACAUGGAAUACCAAUUGCGAAGGCAGGUUACUACUAAUGGAUUGACGCUGACGGACGAAAGCGUGGGUAGCGAACAGGAUUAGAUACCCCCGUAGUCCCUGAGCGGGCUGGCAAGGCGCAU